rnacentral:rRNA from 1 species
UGGGGAAUAUUGCACAAUGGGCGCAAGCCUGAUGCAGCCAUGCCGCGUGUAUGAAGAAGGCCUUCGGGUUGUAAAGUACUUUCAGCGAGGAGGAAGGCGUUGUGGUUAAUAACCGCAACGAUUGACGUUACUCGCAGAAGAAGCACCGGCUAACUCCGUGCCAGCAGCCGCGGUAAUACGGAGGGUGCAAGCGUUAAUCGGAAUUACUGGGCGUAAAGCGCACGCAGGCGGUCUGUCAAGUCGGAUGUGAAAUCCCCGGGCUCAACCUGGGAACUGCAUCCGAAACUGGCAGGCUAGAGUCUUGUAGAGGGGGGUAGAAUUCCAGGUGUAGCGGUGAAAUGCGUAGAGAUCUGGAGGAAUACCGGUGGCGAAGGUGGCCCCCUGGACAAAGACUGACGCUCAGGUGCGAAAGCGUGGGGAGCAAACA